AAAUUACAUAUCAAAGGGAGUUAUACUAGUAAGGAGGACUUUAUUCAAUUUACAUAACCUACACACCAACAACAGUGCUCACAAGGAAAUAUUUACUCAAGCCACAACAUUUCAGGCAACACAACUUUAUGGAAUAGGAAGCAAAAUAUCCAACGGACAACACAUCCUACUGUGUACUUCUGAAGCACCUUUAUUUUGGGAAUUCAACUCAGAACUAAGCUUAGAAACAAAAUCUUAACUAUCAUUUGAUUUCCCCUUCUUUUGUUUGGCCUUAAACAAUGAGAUUAAACCAGUAGAGCAAAAUUAAUAGAUUUAAACCAACCUAACGAGAUCCAACAAUUAGCCAACAAUGAAAGAAGCAAAAUGAUGAGCCAAGUCUCUAGCAAAUUUCAGGAAGACAAUUUGUACAUUUGCACAGGGUCUUAAACCCACCAAAGCUGUUUACCUAUCAUUCAAACUAUAACAAACAACCAGCAACAAAACAUCCUCAAAACCUGCUCGUACACUUGCCGAACUUGUUAUUUAGCUAAGCCCAGUUUCAUGAUACACCAGUAACAGCUCAUUUGGUACGUACUAUUACAGAUCUACUACUUGGAAUUAAAUAGUUGGAAAAAAAAAAAGCUAAGGCAAACACAACUUGUAUUCCAUACAAUUUCCACUUGAAUUACAUAAUCAACAUUCACAUUGUUGCUCGUAGAUAGAAAAAUACCUGGGAAGAAAGAAACAACAUCAAAUAAAAAAUCAACAGUGAGAAACAACAAUUAGCUUGAGUUUGACAAAAUGGAUAAUGAACAGCUCAAGAUAGACCAAUGGAACAGUAAAAAAUCUUUAGAAAACUAACUUCAAAACCAGGUUAAACCACUUCUUCUCUACACAGAUGUACAAAUUCAGCAAUUUUUUUCCAGAGAUUCUAAACUAAGACCCCAAAAAUACCAAGUUCAAUCCAUAUUCCCCCAGAUAAACCAAAAUGUGUUUCAGGAAUUGAAAGUCUUAGAAACGAAAACAAUGAAAUAGUAUUUUCACAAAUUUCUCAACCGUCUAUAUUUUCUUUAUUUUUAGCUCCCUCCCUCU
rnacentral:lncRNA from 1 species